rnacentral:snRNA from 1 species
CGAUGAUCAUAUUAUGCAUUAUG